rnacentral:rRNA from 1 species
CCAAUCCUGACACAGGGAGGUAGUGACAAGAAAUAACAAAAGGGCAUUGUCUUGUAAUUGGAAUGAUGGUGACGUAAAAUCUCACCAGAGUAACAAUUGGAGGGCAAGUCUGGUGCCAGCAGCCGCGGUAAUUCCAGCUCCAAUAGCGUAUAUUAAACUUGUUGCAGUUAAAAAGCUCGUAGUUGAAUUUCUGCGUUGCCCGACUCGGCUACUUGCCUUGUCUGGUUUCGCUUUUGGGGUUUUCCCCUUUUUACUUUGAGAAAAUUAGAGUGUUUCAAGCAGACUUGUGUCUUGAAUACUUCAGCAUGGAAUAAUAAAGUAGGACUUUGGUUCUAUUUUGUUGGUUUGUGAACCUUAGUAAUGGUUAAUAGGAACGGUUGGGGGCAUUCGUAUUUAACUGUCAGAGGUGAAAUUCUUAGAUUUGUUAAAGACGAACUACUGCGAAAGCAUUUGCCAAGGACGUUUUCAUUAAUCAAGAACGAAAGUUAGGGGAUCGAAGACGAUCAGAUACCGUCGUAGUCCUAACCAUAAACCAUGCCGACUAGGGAUUGGAGGUCGUCAUUUUUCGACUCCUUCAGCACCUUGAGAGAAAUCAAAGUCUUUGGGUUCUGGGGG